rnacentral:rRNA from 1 species
CAUGUAAAUUAAAAAUAAAAGAUAUUAUAUCAAUUAAUUAAAAACAUUUAUAAGUUUAGUAAUGGUGAAAGAAAUUUACCUUAUAAAUUAACAAGUACUGAGAAGGAAAAUAAUAAUUAAAUAAUAGAAAGAAUAAAUUUCUGUACCUUUUGCAUCAUGGUUUAGCUAGAUUUAAUUUUCUUAAGAAAUUUCUCGAAAUCUAAUGGGCUAUUUUCAACCAGUAUUAUUAGAUACUAAAAACUAGUUGUAGCAAAAAUUUUUUUAGAGUUGAAAAUAGAAAUGAAAUUUUAUCCGUAUUAGGUGAUAGCUAGUUCUUUUUUAAAGGUAUAGAAGUACUGAAAAUUUUUUAAUACUACAGAACAUAAAAUCUCUAGUAUAUAUAAAAUUUUGUUAGACUUUUGAGGAUAAGCUCAAAAGUAAAUUAUUUUUGUAUUAUAAUGUGUAGUUAAAUUUAGGCUUGAAAAUGGCCAUUAUAUAUGAUUUUGUUAUAAUUUCAUUACUUUUAACAACAUAGAAUUAAUUUACUUUUAAUUAAAAAAGGAAGUCUUUAAAUUUAAAGUAAGACUAAGCACAUGCUAAAAUGAGUAUUAAUUAGCUUAUAAUUUUUAUUGUUGUAGAAUUAUAAAUUAAAUAAAGUAUUUUUAUUAUAAAUUGAUGAAAGGAACUCGGCAAAACUAAAUUCCGCCUGUUUAUCAAAAACAUGGCUCCUCGUUUUUUUACUAUGGGGAGUCGGACCUGCUCAGUGAAUACAUUUUUAACAGCCGCGGUACUCUGACCGUGCAAAGGUAGCAUAAUCAUUUGCCUUAUAAUUGAAGGCUAGUAUGAAUGGUUUGACGAGAAUUAAGCUGUCUCUUUUCAACUAAAUAUAAUUUUAUUUAUAGGUGAAGAAGCCUAUAUUCUAUUGAAAGACAAGAAGACCCUAUCGAGCUUAAAAGAAUUUAAUAAAUUUAUCAUAUAUUUAUAAAAAAGUAAAAUUAUUAAAGAUUUUGGUUGGGGCGACUGAGGAACAAGAAAAGCUUCCUUUAUUUUCAUUAAAACUUACAAGUAUUGAUCCAAUAAAUUUGAUUAAAGAAAUUAGUUACCGUAGGGAUAACAGCAUAAUCCUCUUUGAGAGCCCUUAUCGAAAAGGGGGUUUGUGACCUCGAUGUUGGACCAGAAUAUCCAGAAGAUGCAGCCGUCUUCAAUGGUUGGUCUGUUCGACCAUUAAAAUUCUACGUGAUCUGAGUUCAGACCGGCGUGAGCCAGGUCAGUUUCUAUCUUCAAUUUUCAUAAUGGCUUUAGUACGAAAGGACCAAGCUAUUGCAAAAUAAUUUGUAAUAUUUGAUUAAAUAUAAAGAGUAAUUAAAUUUCUAAUAAAC